GAUUUCAUCUUUCAAGUCUUUAUAGUCCAGUAGGCUGGUAUAGCUGGACUCAAGCAGUAGAAGAUUUUCUUCAUGCAAAAGAAAGUGAACAAUUACUAAAAGUAUGGAUAAAUACUACGCUUGGAGAAACCUGGGUAGACAAAGGAGAAGUACCAGAUUGGAAGCAAUUAUUUAACAGGAGAGAAUUUUUUCCCGUAGGCACAGUACCUAGGAGAGAAGAAUAAUAAUAUAAAACAAAUACUUUGCAAAUGCUUACUAAGGAUGAAAUUGAAUGGAUAAAUGGCUACCAUCAAUUUGUCUAUAAAAACUUAGAAAAUAGCGUCAAAGAUAAGGAGUGGUUAAAGAAAGUAUGUGACCCUUUAUAAGCAAAGGAGCAUUUUUUAUUAUUUAAAAAGUAUUAAUGCAAUUGUGACAGGUAGGUUAUAAUUAUGAUAGACAAAGGGCAAGGAGAUGAAUUUAUGAAGCAGUAUAUGGAUACUUGCAAAGAGCAAAUAGAAAAAUUAGCCAAGGAUCCUGAAUUGCUUAAUCAGGCUUUAAAACCAUUUAUGCAAAUGUCUCAGCAGCUUAUGGCUGGCGGUAUGUUAGAAGGGGCUAUGCCUGGCAUGAUACCUGAUUUGGGCAGUAUGGAUGUUAACAAGAUGAUUGCUCAGAUGAA